CAGAAACAGAAAACCAAACACCGCAUGUUCUCACUCAUAAGUGGAAGCCAAGCUAUGAGGAUGCAUAGGCGUAAGAAUGACACAAUGGACUUUGGGAACUCAGGGGGAAAGGGUGGGAAGCAGGUGAGGGAUAAAAAACUAUAAACUGAGUGUAGUGUAUACUACUUGGGUGAUGGGUACACCAAAAUCUCGCAAAUCACCAUUAAAGAACUUAUGUAACCAAACACCACCCAUUUCCCAAUAACCUAUGGCAAAUAAAAGUUUUU